AGGAUGUUCCAUAUAGCUAUAGGAGCUAUGUUACGAGUUUUCCUUACAUGCCUCAUUUUACGAGUAAAACACAGCGGGCUUAAAGUGAAUCGUAUUAUAUGGAACUUGGUCGAUUUUUGACAAGUGGAACCUUUCCAUUAACUGUUUGGUUGUUAGGACUGAGUUUUGUUAUGAGGAAUUUACCGUAUGAUUCCCGUUUUUGGGUGGUACGAUAAUUGUUUGU
rnacentral:lncRNA from 1 species